rnacentral:rRNA from 1 species
ACGGGAGGCAGCAGUGGGGAAUAUUGCACAAUGGGGGAAACCCUGAUGCAGCAACGCCGCGUGAGUGAAGAAGUAUUUCGGUAUGUAAAGCUCUAUCAGCAGGGAAGAUAAUGACGGUACCUGACUAAGAAGCACCGGCUAAAUACGUGCCAGCAGCCGCGGUAAUACGUAUGGUGCAAGCGUUAUCCGGAUUUACUGGGUGUAAAGGGUGCGUAGGUGGCAUGGUAAGUCAGAUGUGAAAUACCGGGGCUCAACCCCGGGGCUGCAUUUGAAACUGCCAGGCUGGAGUACAGGAGAGGCAAGCGGAAUUCCUAGUGUAGCGGUGAAAUGCGUAGAUAUUAGGAGGAACACCAGUGGCGAAGGCGGCUUGCUGGACUGUUACUGACACUGAGGCACGAAAGCGUGGGGAGCAAACAGGAUUAGAUACCCUGGUA